rnacentral:rRNA from 1 species
AUUGAACGCUGGCGGCAGGCCUAACACAUGCAAGUCGAGCGGAGCGGCGGACGGGUGAGUAAUGCCUAGGAAUCUGCCUGGUAGUGGGGGAUAACGUCCGGAAACGGGCGCUAAUACCGCAUACUAUCAGAUGAGCCUAGGUCGGAUUAGCUAGGUGGUGGGGUAAAGGCCUACCAUGGCGACGCUCCGUAACUGGUCGGAGAGGAUGAUCAGUCAACAUGGAACGUAGACACGGUCCAGACUCCUACGGGAGGCAGCAGUGUGGAAUAUUGGGCAAUGGGCGAAAGCCUGGUCCAGCCAUGCCGCGUGUGUGAAGAAGGUCUUCGGAUUGUAAAGCACGUUAAGUUGUGAGGCGUUACCAACAGAAUAAGCACCGGCUGACUUCGUGCCAGCAGCCGCGGUAAUAC